UAAUUGGUCCUGCCCCAGCGUACUCAUUUGACAGGUCGUUUACCCUCAUGGUCUAUAUUUUUUCAGGUCAAAUGCAGGUGCCACACUGAGUUAUGGCCUUGACUUCCACAGCCUCAUUCCACUCAGGAUGAAACGUGAUUGGUUCCUGCGGCGAACAGAAGUGACAGAACUGCAGGGACAAGGAACAAGGAGGCGACCCACGUAACCCUUGACAGAUGCUGACAUAGGCGGUGGCCUUGGACUUCAAACAUUUAUUUUACUGAUGAAGAAAGAGGCUCAGAGAAGCCAAGAGACCAGUCAGUCAGUGCCAGAAAUGGGACUGGAUCUGCCUCCUGAUCCCAAAGCUUCACGAAUUCAUAUACUUCAGAGAUGUGUUUGGCCAGAGUCCCCUAAGACAGGCCUGCUGGUGGAGCUCCAAGAUACCACUGAGAAGAGAAGAUUGACUGAAUAGUUAGAGGAAGAACUAAGAACUGAAAAGUUCUUAGAGGAAUCAGAACUGAAGGCAGCAAGGUCCUGGGAGUAAUCAGCACAGAGGCAAGGAUGGCGCCCACACAACUAGGUCAGGCUGCAGAGUGAGCUCACGGGGGAUGCUGGAGGAGACAGUUAGAAGUGAUUGGAGAUAAGGAGACAAACUGUACGGAGAGCUGGCCCUGCUCAGGAAGAGAAAAGGGCACCUGCACUGCAAUCGCCACUUUCAGGAAAUGUGGGACCUCAUGGAAAGAACCUAGUCCCUUAGAACUAAAAGGCUUGGAGAUGGAGCUUUGAUUCUAUGGGAGGCAGCGCAAAGGAGGAACCAGGGAGUGUGGUUCCUUCCUCAUGGGACAAACACACUGUGAGGAAGGAAUUCGGUUGUGUCUGUAACCUAAUGCCGAGUGCCUCCCCUACAGCUUCCUUCCUGUGCACACAGGAGUCUGAGGCCACUGGUGCCGGUGGGGCCAUUUUACACUCUCCAGCCUUCUGGCCCAAAGAAACCCAGCAAAACAGGAGUGGAGGCUAGGGAGCAAUGCACUGGGCUGGGGAGGCCUCAUCCACAGAGAA